rnacentral:rRNA from 1 species
UACGUAGGGUGCAAGCGUUAAUCGGAAUUACUGGGCGUAAAGAGCGCGCAGGCGGUCGUGCAAGUCGAGUGUGAAAGCCCCCGGCUCAACUGGGGAGGGUCACUCGAUACUGCUCGACUCGAAGGCGGGAGAGGGAAGCGGAAUUCCCGGUGUAGUGGUGAAAUGCGUAGAUAUCGGGAGGAACACCAGUGGCGAAGGCGGCUUCCUGGCCCGUUCUUGACGCUGAGGCGCGAAAGCUAGGGGAGCAAACGGG